CAGCCGCCGCGGUAAUACCGGCGGCCCGAGUGGCGGUCACUAUUAUUGGGCUUAAAGCGUCCGUAGCCGGGUUGGUUAGUCUCCCGGGAAAUCUGGCCGCUUAACGGUCAGAAUUCCGGGGGAUACUGCCCGCCUAGGGACCGGGAGAGGCCGAGGGGAUUCCCGGGGGAGGGGGGAAAUCCUAUAAUCCCGGGAGGACCACCUGUGGCGAAGGCGCUCGGCUGGAACGCGUCCGACGGGGAGGGACGAAGGCCAGGGGAGCAAACCGGAUUAGAUACCCGGGUAGUCCUGGCUGUAAACGAUGCGGACUUUGUGUCGGACAAGCUAUGAGCUUGUCCGGUGCCGGAGGGAAACCGUUAAGUCCGCCGCCUGGGGAGUACGGCCGCAAGGCUGAAACUUAAAGGAAUUGGCGGG
rnacentral:rRNA from 1 species